UACAGAGGUCCCGAGCGUUGUUCGGAUUUAUUGGGCGUAAAGGGUGCGUAGGUGGCAAAGUAAGUUGGAUGUGAAAUCCUGGGGCUCAACCUCAGAAUUGCAUUCAAUACUGCUUAGCUAGAGAGCUGUAGAGGAGACUGGAAUUUACGGUGUAGCAGUGAAAUGCGUAGAUAUCGUAAGGAACGCCAGUGGCGAAAGCGAGUCUCUGGGCAGCAUCUGACACUGAGGCACGAAGGCCAGGGGAGCAGACGGG
rnacentral:rRNA from 1 species